rnacentral:tRNA from 1 species
GGAGUGGUGGCCGAACGGUAAGGCAUCGACCUGCUACGUCGACGAGUCGUGUCACAACGACGAGCGCGUUCGACUCGCGCCCACUCCGCCA